UACGUAGGGGGGCGAGCGUUGUCCGGAUUUAUUGGGCGUAAAGAGCUCGUAGGCGGCUUGGCAAGUCGGGUGUGAAACCUCCAGGCUCAACCUGGAGACGCCACUCGAUACUGCCAUGGCUAGAGUCCGGUAGGGGACCACGGAAUUCCUGGUGUAGCGGUGAAAUGCGCAGAUAUCAGGAGGAACACCGAUGGCGAAGGCAGCUCGCUGGGACGGUACUGACGCUGAGACGCGAAAGCGUGGGGAGCAAACAGG
rnacentral:rRNA from 1 species